UGGUUGAUCGGUGGGGAUGACAAUUUUGUUGGACAAAUCCUAAUGGUUUUGAAGGUAAAAAAACAACAAAGAAAGAAAAAGAAAAUGUUCAAUAAGAUGGAUUGUGGAUGAAUAGGGGUGCAAGAAAAAGUACAAGAGAUGGAGUGAAGAACUGACCUCAGGAACGAUGAAGUUGACGGCCAUCUUGUCACGAGGAGGAUGAUCGAAGGCUUUGGAGUUGGUGAAGAAGGGACUUCGUCGGAGAUCUUGGAGCUCUUGAAUAGCGCUGCCGCCGGG
rnacentral:lncRNA from 1 species